UCUAUUUUUGUGUUUUAUACAAUCUUAAACAUGAAAAUGUAUUAAUGUUAUACACAAUUAAAAAUUAACAUGUUUUAUAACAUAGUAAACCAUCUAAAAAUUCUGCCCCGCAUAAUUUUUGAUUAAUCCCCGAUUUUUUCUUUAGGCGCUAGGUCCAAUCCGACCGUCCGAUUAGCGACUAGCGCGUUCCUGAACAGGGCUUUUAAGUGGGAUGAACUUUAUAUCUACUUAUUUAAUUUUGUUUCGAUUAUUUUUCUGCGCCGGAUCAAAUAGCAAUUCCCACGAAAAUUAUUUAAUGCAUUUCAGAGUCCACAAAGACCGUGUCAGAAGAAGCACAACCCCCAGCUUCGUGACGUGUCUGCCUCUAAUAUUUAAAUCAGAACAACCCAGUUUCUCAAAAGGUCCAAAAGCUACUUUUUUUUUUUUUUUACCAAAUGAAUUUUAUUAAACAAAACCAAAAAAAUACAAAAUACUCAAAAAAGAGAAACUAAAGAAACACAAGACGAAGCCCAAAUGCUCAAACGACAAACAAAGCCCGAAAGCAAACCUAACCAUCCAAACCACGCGUUACAUUUAGCGUGAGAGAAAGAAGCACGUGUCCAAGCCUCAGCGAAAGAGGAGGCACGCGUCACACCGAUCAACCGUCGCCUUCACCGCGAGGAGAUCAUCGCCGGAGCAGCUUCCCGUCGAUCCACCGGAACACACCGGAAAGAAGAACCGUAGAGACGAUCUCAGACAAAAUUAAACCAAAUCACACAUGUUAUAGUCGCCGGAACUCCACCCAGAGAGCUCAAUCUGCCGCAGCCGAGAGCAAUUCGUUGUAGAGAUUUACCCAGACGAAUAAAACCACCACGAAAGGAUCUUCGCUUUGUAAAGAGAUCCAUUUACAAGCUUCGACUAUGAAACUUAAAUGAAUCUAGAGGCAUGAAGCGAGAUCAGAGGAAUCCGAGAAAACCUUGAAAAAAUCAAUCAACGCCACCGAGAUUGAAAAUUGUCAUCUGCGUUGAUGGAACCAAGAGCUGGUGCUUCACCGAAGGGAAAGGUGUUCACUGGAGCCAAAAGUCGGAAGCUACGUCGAGAAGACCGUAAAACUCCAGAACCGAAAACCAGCCACAUCAGACAGAGGGUGCCAUCAUGUGCUUGAACUGAAGCCCAUCAACGGGCGGCUACGCCGGAAGAAGAUCUGGUCAAGACUGUAACUUGAUUCUCAUCUCUCCCCGUGAAAGAUAUCGAAAGAGAGAACGAAAAAUGAGAGAGAAAAAAGCCGAGGUUCUAAAGCUACAUAUAUAUAUAUAUAUAUAUAUAUAUAUAUAUAUAUAUAUAUAUAUAUUCUCCCAAAUUGAAAUUCAUUAAUAAGUGAAAUACAAACAUUUUACAUAUCAGCAUGCUGGCCUCAGCACACUGGACCUUCCCGUGGACUGUCCGAGGUGAUUUUGGCCUUCGAGGAAUGUCCAUCAGUACACAUAUUAGCACGAUGGUCAUUCCCGUGGACGCGACAAAACGAAAUAGCUCCAAAACCAAGAGCCCACAUGAGGCAGACACUAAAACCCAUACUAGCGCGACUUACUGAAACAGGACCGAAAGCCCACAAGAGGCGGUCACUAAAACCCACAAUAGGACGACUUACUGAAACAACGCUUAAAAAUAAAAUUGAAACCGAUAUAAUCGACUACACAUGAGCUUUAAACAACCACAGCUCAACAGACUUUCGAACUAUGUAAAAUCAAUGAUCGGGAAAAUACCGUUGCUACCCAUAGCUCGCGACACGAUAACCUCCACUUCUUACAACCACAUCACGACUUUUCGUUGCUGCCUCCACCCGUCAAUCGAUAUAAGCGGAGCUCGAAAAUUGAUGUGUAUUCGAAAAAUAUGAGCUAGUAAUCGCCGCUAUGCUGAUAUUGGUGAUGUACGUCCAAAGGACCAAAAGCCUGAAACUUCAUAACCCGAGAGGGACCAUCACUCGGUCCACUACCUUCGGAUACGGAUGCGACGCACUCAUAACGUCCACUUACCAUCGAUAGAAACUCUACCCAAAUACCACGAGAAUGAAGUCUUGCCAAUCAACCUCUCCAAACGCACUCCAGGAAGAGGAAACCUGCGGUAAGCGAUCACUGAACCCAACACUUUAGAACAAAGUCUGCUAAAUUAAGUGUGAAACUCUAAAUAAAGAGACACACAAACAUAACAAAAGACCAACACAACAACACCCUAGACCAAAUUGUAAACUUACAAACAAAAACCUGAGAGAAAACAACAUCACCAAUAGAGACAUAAAGGCUUCACAGGCGACAGACUCAACCCACUCACCCUAAGCCACCUAUUCCCUACCGGAUCCAUAUGAAUCUCCAACUCGGGUCACGCCAAUAAGGAUCUGAAGCUCAAGCCCAGCAGAGACCUCCGCACAAACCACCCACAUGGACUGUCUCCACGCGCCCCACCGCUGAGUCUCGACGAGACUUCGCAGAGACGAGAGCUUUUCGCGCCGUCACCAAACGCGGAUCCAGAUUCACACCCAAACAUAACACCUAACUAGCAGAUCUAUAAAAGAUAGGGAAGACAAAGCUAACUAGCAUCACCGCCAGUCACCGGAAAAUACAUAGCCCGAGGCUGAGGGGAUCUGAGGGAAACGAGAGAGAAGAUAAGGUUUUUUUUAAUUCCUCUCGUACAUACAUAUAUAUAUAUCUAUAUGAAAAAAAUUUAUGAUUGCAUUUUUUACUUUAUUUUCACAAAAAUAGCCAUCAAAUAGAAAAAUGAUUGAAAUAAGUGUUAUUAAAAAAUGAUAUAUAUCUAUAUUUUAGGGUUAACUAAUCUAGAUUUGAGAUUUAGAGUUAAUGAGUGACGUUUUGAAGAUGACAUUUUAAAUUUAAAAAAAAUAAAUAUUAAAAUUUUUAAAAUAAAAAGAGGUUGUUUUGGUCUUUUUUUUCAGAACUAUUUUGGUGACAAUUUGUUGUUAAAAGCUAUUUGAAAGAAAUUAUAUAUACAAUAGCAUUUAAUUAUAAGUAUCUAAAAAUUAUUAGAAAAUAUAAUCGAAAGCUUUAUUUUCUUAAAAAAUUGAGACAUUUCUAUUGGAGUUGCUCUCAGCAUAUAGUAGAUAACACAGAAUUUAUAGUAUUAUUUUUUAUUUAAAACAACAUAUAUUAUAAGGUAAUUAACUUACAUAGCCAAUUUUAAGUUUUGCCACCAAAAUAGCCCUAAAAUGAUCAAAAUAACUUUUUUUUAUUUUGAAAAUUUUAAUUUUUAAUUUUUUUAAAUUUGAAACCACACCUUUAAAACUCUACCUCUUAAUUUUAAACCUUAAGUCUGGAUUAAUUAACCAUAAAAUAUAAAUGUAUAUUUACCAUUUAAUAAUACUUCUUUUGGUCAUUUUAUUUUUUAAGAACUAUUUUGUGAAAAUAAACAGAAGAAGGUAUCCUAAGAAAUUUCUCCAUAUUAUACAACAAUCAAUAUACUAACAGUUUAAACCAACAUAUAACGUGCAGUGUGGUUCAACUUUAAAAAUGUUGCAUUCACGGUCAAUAAGAAAUGGAAAUUUUUUUCCCGUUUCUUGAUUGAACCACAAACCAAAUGUGAAAACAUCAAUCAGUUGAUCAAAUACGUAUUGUUUAAUCUACUAUAUUACAAAACUAGAAGGGUGUCUGCGCUUCGCGCGGAAUAUUGUUUUAUUGCUGUUAGAUAUGAUUUUUUGGAUGAUGUAAUUAAGUGGUCUUUCUUAUUUGUAAAGAGAAUUAUUUGAUGUUUUAUUGUGUUAUGUAGUAUUAGGUAAUAUGUUAAUAUAUUAUGUGUUUGUUUUUCAAUAAUGUGUUGUUGUGUGUAUAAUAGUAAUUGUGUGGUGAAGUGAGCUUUUAAUGUAAAUUAUAUUGAAUUUUAAUAACUUUGCAUUUAGGCAUUUGUUAAUUUUAAGAUUGAUGGUUUUAGCGUCAGAAUUGUAUUUUAAUUUGUUACAUUUUUGAACAUUACUCUUUUAAAAUGUUUUUUGCCCACUCUCCAUAUUUUGACCCUGAGCCGUCCUCAUCUAUGUAAUUCGCUUACCUUUCCGGUGUGCGGUGCUUCUCGCCAUCACUGAGAAAAGACUCACCUUUGUGUUCUUGUUUUUCCUCACAUUCAUCUCUUGUGAUAUUAUCUGGUAUUUGUUAUAGAUCAUGCUUACAAAUUCCCAAUUGUGCGGUUGUUUUUCACUGUGUUGUAGGUUGUUUUGGUCAAUAUUGGUCCUCUUCUUUUUUAGAUUUUGGCUAAUUUUAGGAACUACAUCUUGUUGGGUUGGGUCAGAGUUCAGUUGUCUUUGAUGUUGUCUUCCUCUCGUUGACUUGCCGUCGAUAGUCUCUGCUCGUCUUGGUUUUCAAGAUCUGGUUUUUGGUGAUCUGACUUCUAUGCUCUUUUUCAUAUCUCGAGGAUGGCUCCAAGGUUUGAUGAUUUUGUUUCGUCUCCUUUUCUAUCUUUGUUCUCUCAUCUUGUUGCACCUUUCAUUGCUGCUCGCUUCUCUGGUGGCUCUUUUUUCGCCAUAUUUGCUACUUCAGGUUUGGAUAGUGUUUUCUUCUGUGUAUGCUUUAUGUGCUUGGAAGGUUAUUUCUAGUCUAAAGUUUGAGCUCUUGUUUUUCGGUGGUAGGCUUCCAUUCUCCCUCCCUCAGGUUGUUUCUUUUCUUCUCUUAUUUUCCUUGGUGUAAGUGUGCGGAGUUAGUCUUUGGAGCUUUGAUCUCUUCUACUUAGAGCUUUGUGGUUCUUCGCUGGCAUGAACGUCUUGUAUGUGCUUGUUUAGUUUGUGAGGUGCUUCUUACCUUUUAGCUGGUGGUUGUGAUUCCGGUGCUUGUGGCAUGUGUCUUCUUGUUUCGUGGUGACUCUGGUCUCCUGAUGAUUAUUCUUUCUCUGACCUUUUUGGUUUUUUGGGUUUUUUGGGUUGGUGCUUGAUCACGCUCCUUUGAGCUCGGAGGAAUGUUUUGUCUUAUAUUUUACUCCUUCUGUUCCAAAAUAGAUGAUAUUUUAGAAAAGUUAUGAUGUUUCAAAAUAGAUGAUGUUUUGAUAUUUUAUAUUAAUUUAAAUUUUAUUGAAAACUGUGUGACCAGUGAUGUUUUAUAUUUAUUUUUAAGGAUUGGAUGAAUUAAUUUUGGUUUAUAUUUUUAAUGUUUCUUUUAGAAAAAAGUGUAUACCUUAAUUCUUGUUCAUACACUCAAAACAUCAAAUAUUUUGGAACAGAAGGAAUAUCCUUUUAUAUUUUCUAACAUCUGCUUGUUCUAUCCAUGAUAUUAUUGGUAAGAUGAGGUAAGUUAGUUUUCUUUGUUGAUCUUUUUCCGGCUCCAAACUUUUAUUGAGUUAGUGUUACUAUAGUAUAAUUGGUUUUUUUCUUUUGGUUGUGGAAGUUGUAGGUUUAGAUUAUGCGUUGUAUUCUAGUUUUUUCUUAUUAGUUUGGUUAUUUGUGGAAAUUGUAGGGCAGUUCUGAGCGAAGUGACCUAUCUUAUCACAUCGGUAACACUCAACCUUUGAUGUGUCUCUCUCUUGCCUAUAAUAUCUGUUUUGUUGAUAUCCAAAUCUACCACGACCUCUUCCUCGAUAUCCAUACCGACCGCCUCUUCCCGAAUCAUACAUAUCCUGUUGUGAGAGUCUGCAUACAUAAGUUUAUCUUGGUUUUGCUCGUCAUGCUUCUCUUCUUCCUCAUCAUGAAUCAUCUCAUCAUAAAAUAAUAGAAAAUGGUAAAAUAACAAAAAUAAUAGAAAAUAUUUAAAAUUAUUUAUUUAUUUAUUUUAUUUAUUUAUUUUUUAUUCAUCUUGAAUUUUAGUGACCAAUAAAAUAAAUUAUCAAAUUUUAUACAAAGAUGGUUAAUAUUAAAAGAAUAAAUAGUGCAUAAUUAGAAAGUACUUCGCUAAAUUGCAAUAAUCUAUAAGAAAAAGGACUUAAAAUGUUAAAAAAAAAAUAUGAAAGACACAUGUCAUCAAACCUCCUUGCCACUUGUCAUAAGAAGAGAAAAAACUAACUUUAUAUAUAAAGAUAAAUGUAGCCACGGUUUUAAUCAAACUUGAUCAGUUAAAUACCUCUUUAUGAACUUGAAAAUUGGCUAUAACAUCAAAUGAAAAUGCAUUUUUUCAAAAAUGUAUUAACUAUAUCAAAAUAUGUAGCAACCAGUAUAACCACUCAUUGAUUUAUAAACUAAUUUACUUAUGAACGUAUUUAAAAUAACAAACAAAACUUAACAGGUGUUGUAAAAUUUUAGAGCCUCCACCGUUCCGUAAGCUAUUGUUUCAACGAGAUUAACAACACCUUUUGUUGUUAGUUAUGUUUUCAUGUCCGUUUCUGCUCACUUCAACCAUGCCCACUGACUCUAUCAGCCGUUAUUACCGUUUUUGUCGCGGCGCUCCUAAAUUGAUGUUUUAACAGAUCAAAUCAAAAGUGGUGGUACAAUACUACUCUUCUCUAAAGCACAAAUGAGGAAGUGACAUAUUGAGAAGAAUGGGAUUCAAACCCAUGAUAGAAUUUUCUUGUAUAUCAAUUCAGCAAACCAACUUAUCGGCCGGUCGGAUUGUUGCAACCUUCCAAGGAAUGCCUGCUGAGAUUCCAAGUCUUCAAGUAGGCCCUCUUGGCCACUCGUUUUUCGCAGCCUUAAUGUUUUUUGCUGGUUGGUUCCAUUAUCACAAAGUGGAGAAUAAAGAAGAGAUAAAAGGGUCCUAUGGAAAAUGUAGUCAGAAAUCAAUUAAGAUCGUUAAUAGUCUUGCUCUCUUUACCUAUAGCUAUCGACGACGUCAUCUACGUAGAUUUGAGCCUCAGAAGCGUAAUCCCCCCCCCCCCCACCUUUGCUUACUGUCUCCCAAUGUGUCUCGACAACAACUUCAAAGCUUGUAGAGCCUUUUUUGGGGGAUUCAUUUCAUCUGAGAAUGGCGGAGCAGUGGUUCUCCGCUGAGAGCCUCUUCCCCCAACUUCACACAUUUGCAAACAGUGGUAAUCCUUUGUUGUGACUUCUUUCUCUAAUUUGUGCUUUUAGGGGUUGGAUAUUAGGAUUCUUUGAGGACAGAGUCGUGGUGUUCCCAUGAAGUCAUGAUGCUCGAGCUGAAGCCCUCUAUUGAAUUAACAUGUUUAUGAGGAGUCGUUUGGCUUCACCGUUUGUCACCUCCCUUUUCAUGUUACAUGUCGAUUAUAUCUAGGAGGUUUGGAUGUCUAUCCUACCCUUUGAAUAUCCCUUGUGUCGCCGAAAACGGAAACUAAACUACCGAUUACACUUGACCAAAACAGCCUUUCGUGUUUUCAAUGUAAGUAUCGACAUCUCUGCUUGUCCAGAAGAGAUAUAUCUGUGUGGCUGUUGAUUUUGAUUUCAACAAAUCCCACCUCAGCUAGCAUCGAGUGGUAGGCGAGACCCUCCAUCGUCGCAGCUUGAGAGAACCUCUAGGUUUGGCAUAAGCAAAUUAUUUAUGAUCAGUGUUCUCUUCGAUCUGUUGGUCUCUAAGAGACUAGGAAGGCAUAUCUGGGAAUAAAUACAGUUGGUUGUUAUUUUCUUGUAGUUUUAAGGUUUGUGUGUUCAGAUUAACCUUAGUUGCUUUAUAGUCAAUUAGUUUUCUUAAAUCUUUAAUGUGAUCCUUUGAAUAGGAAUUGCUUUCGAGCGAAUCAAAUUACAAGUUCACUUUAAUCAGACUUUGAUUUGGCACAAAACCAAUCUUCAUUUUUCAAAAGCGUUCUAACAACAGUUUUAUUAUUUUUAUAAUGAUAUUUACAUCUUUAGCAAGAAAAAAACAAAUUUAUUUUACUUUUAAACAUACUAGCCAGAUAUAUGUUUCCUCAAAUAUAUUUUUAUAAAUAUCAAAUGGUUAGUAAAAGUAUGUUUGAUUGGAAGUACUGGUUGGAAGCUCAGAUAUAUGUUUCCUCAAAUAUAUUUUUAUAAAUAUCAAAUGGUUAGUAAAAGUAUGUUUGAUUGGAAGUACUGGUUGGGCGUUCGUGAAGUCUCUCCUUAGUUAUAAAUCAGAUGGGAGAAUGAAUGGACAACAAAAACUAUAAAACUAGUAAUUCAAAGAAAAAAUUAUUGAAAUAUUGUAAGUUAGAUAGAUAUGUAAGGGGCGCGAUUUAUUUAGUGUUUAAUAAUUAUUGUUCAUGGUUUAGUAUCUAGGAGGCGGUAUUGAUUUUUCAAACUUUUUCUAAAAAAUGUAAACAUUUAUAAAUGAUUUAUGAGGGUUAGUUCAGUUUCACAAAUUUAAAAUAUUUAUAAAAAUAGUUAUCAUUUAGAAAUAAAUUUAAAAAAUAAUAUCAUAUUUAUGGUAAAAUAGGAUUUUCCAUAAUUCAAAUAUGUGGAACUAUCUAUUGGCAGCUUGUAAAAUAAUCUAACGAGUGACUUACAAAAUUGCCUCCUUAUCAAAAGAAAGACAUGACUUUUCUCGGUAGCAUACGGUAAAUGGGUUCGUCCUAACUGAGCUUCCUACUCCUGCCUACAGUUUUUAUCCCACAACAUGUAUUAGUUUUUUUAUUUUUUUGAAAAAAGUGCAACAUGUAUUAGCUUUUGACAAUGACUUACGUCAAAGACCCUCCAAACUUCUUUAAAUUUCAACGUACGCAGUAUUUUGUCCAAUUUAUAAGUGUGAAUAAAGGUUUCUCUAAUCUUAUAACCAACCAGUGAAAAAAGACUGCACAAAGAAAUAAUGUUCUUUAUUUUUGUCUAAAAACAUGAUCUCAUAUUUGGCAAGACGUUUUUAAAAAUGAAUAAGUAUGUAGAAACUUUCACAUAAUAUGAUUUAUAGUGCAAUUAGAAUACACUUAAAAAUUUCAUAAAUUCUUAAUUUUUUUACAGUCUUUAAAAUGUUCAUUAGUUAGAAUGAAAAAAUAGAAACAACAUUCAUUUUAAAAAUAAAAUAAAAUAUAAUAUAUUAAUUCAUCUCCAAAUUAAGGUUUCAGAACAAUAUCCCCACCGUCCCACAGAAAAACAACCGUCCCACCGAAAAAUAAAGAGAAUUAGAUUACAGAUUUAACAGAAACAGAGAAUAACAACAAACUAAUCCGAGCAAACAAAAGAGAGAAAUUUGAAGGUAAAAUGACCAGGGGAACGAAGCACCUCUUCCAGUAGACAUCGACAGCGAGUAAAUCGGACUCUGAGACUUCAUAGGCGAGGAUGUCUAAGCCCAUCACAGAUCCGCCACCGUUGUCCACAAUCCGUUAUUCGCGGAAGUGUCCCGCGGCACCAAAACGUCAGACACGUUGAAGAGGUUGUGUCUCAUAUUGUUCACAGGUCGAAGUUGAAAAGAUAUUUUAGUAGUGGAGAAGAAAAUAAUGAAUGUCCGAAAAUGAAAUCCAGCCGACAGCAUGAGGCUUUGCUGUUGCGGUAUUAAGAGGACAUGUGUACAAUACCUACCACGUGUUCGUAUCGAAACCCUUUUCUCCAUCUCAUCUCAGCCAUCCAGUCUAGAUCAAACACCCGCAAAUUAUAUCAUAUGCCUCACAUUGGUUGCGUUCAUCUUUUUGAAAAUAAUCAAAUAUGACGACCAAAGUUAGGGAAAACUUUUAUUUUUACCAGGUUGUUGAUAUCAUUAUUCAUAUUUACUAUUAUUAAAACAAUAUAUUCAAACAAAGGAAUUUUUUUGUUUACCA